rnacentral:rRNA from 1 species
AUUGAACGCUGGCGGAAUGCUUUACACAUGCAAGUCGAACGGCAGCACGGACUUCGGUCUGGUGGCGAGUGGCGAACGGGUGAGUAAUGUAUCGGAACGUGCCCAGUCGUGGGGGAUAACGUAGUGAAAAUUACGCUAAUACCGCAUACGAUCUAAGGAUGAAAGCGGGGGAUCGCAAGACCUCGCGCGAUUGGAGCGGCCGAUAUCAGAUUAGGUAGUUGGUGGGGUAAAGGCUCACCAAGCCAACGAUCUGUAGCUGGUCUGAGAGGACGACCAGCCACACUGGAAAUGGGACACGGUCCAGACUCCUACGGGAGGCAGCAGUGGGGAAUUUUGGACAAUGGGCGAAAGCCUGAUCCAGCCAUUCCGCGUGCAGGAUGAAGGCCCUCGGGUUGUAAACUGCUUUUGUACAGAACGAAAAGGUUUCUACUAAUACUAGGAGCUCAUGACGGUACUGUAAGAAUAAGCACCGGCUAACUACGUGCCAGCCGCCGCCGUAA